GCAAGUUCUAGUCCCAUUGCUAAUUGGAAGAUCUCUAGUCCUGGUGAGUUGAUGGUUCUUUUGGUUUUCGGUUCUUGGUUGGUUCAGAUUUAGAUUUUUCUUGUUUGAUCUGGUUUUUGGAUGUUUGAAAGCUCAAAUUCUUGAUGGUUCAAGUGAUUAAUUUGAUUUAAGAUUUUUGAGCUCUUUUCAUUCAUGUUUGUAGUUCUAAUUAUUGAAUGUGUUAGAUUUGUAAUUCAUGUAUAAAAUGAUGAAUUGGGCUCAUUGAGAUGGAACUAUUUCCUGCAUUGCUGUAGUUUUUGAAUCUGUUUCUGAUGUGAUCAUUUUGAUCUUCCCUUUUUUUUUUUUUCUACUUUUGGUUUAUGAUGCCAAUUUGAAGAUCCAUGAUCUGCUUGGCAGUGACCGCAUUUAAGAGACCCUACUUGUCAUACAUUUAGCUUUUGCCUGCUCUUAAUACAUGUACAAAACUGAGUGUCUGUACUGUACACAGAAUAAUCUGCAAAGAUGUUUGAGGGCCAGAAAUUAUGUGCUACGGUCUCAUUUGUUGUUUGUCGAAUCGAUUUGGCGAUAACCUGAAUAUGAUUCUAUUGAUCAGUCAUUUGAUUUUAACUUUAUGCUUCCAUGUUUAACCCAUA
rnacentral:lncRNA from 1 species